AAGGAACAGCUGAAGGACCUGGGACUGUUUAGCCUGGAGAAGAGGAGGCUGAGGGGACAGCUCAUUGCUGUCUACACCUGCCUGAAAGGAGGCUAUAGUGAGGGGAGUUAUGGCAGCAGAGAAUGCCUGGACCUGUUCUACCAGUGUGCGAUUUCCCUGGGCAGGUACAGAUUCCUGCCGUUCCUGCCAGGCUGAGUCAUGCGGGUUCCAGCACCAUCCCCAGAGCUCCCAGCCUUUGCGAUCCUUCACCUCCAUCUCCGCUUCCGAAGGUGGGCUUUAUCCUACAUUGGUGAAUUUGGACUCAGUUUGCGGCCAGCCAGCUCUGCCCAGCAUCGAGCAAGGGAGGAUCUGCCCCUCGUUUCACUUAAUCUGGAGACAGAGGAAUAACACCUUUAAUCUCCAACCCCAGAAUAAGCCACUGACAAAGAGUAACUGGAAAAGGAAAAAGAAAAACAACAAACCCGCCAAGGCUCUCAGCAUUGUGCACCUUGCCAGCAUCGGGGCAAAACAAGUAAAUAAUUGUUUUUGUGGUUAUAUAACAGCAGGAAAAUCAUGAAACCCCUUGAACUGGUGCUAGGAGGGCAGCUGGAGUGGUGAGGGGCGAUGCUUUUGGCCAGUGCUUCUGAAACAGCACCAGGUCGGUGAGCAGUUGGCAGGUGUCAUGGAUGCUGGUGGAUGCUGGGGAUACCGGCGGGUGUCGGCGAUGCCAGGGGCUGUGAGGCAUGCUGGCAGUGUUGGGAAUGCUGGUCGGUGUCAGGAAUGCCAAUGGGUGUUGGGGGUGUCGGCAGUUGUCAGGGAUGCUGGUGGAUACCUGCACAGAGCCAGCCCAAAGCCUGCAGGCAGAGAGCAAGCAGCAUCAGGCAGCAACCUCAGCCAGCUCUCUGCAAGCUGCUUACUGG